UACGUAGGCAGCGAGCGUUGUUCGGAGUUACUGGGCGUAAAGGGUGUGUAGGCGGUUGUUUAAGUUUGGUGUGAAAUCUCCCGGCUCAACUGGGAGGGUGCGCCGAAUACUGAAUGACUUCGAGUGCGGGAGAGGAGAGUGGAAUUCCUGGUGUAGCGGUGAAAUGCGUAGAUAUCAGGAGGAACACCGGUGGCGAAGGCGGCUCACUGGCCCGAUACUGACGCUGAGGCACGAAAGCGUGGGGAGCAAACAGG
rnacentral:rRNA from 1 species